UUUAUUAACAUCUGAAAAAGAUAUUGCCAACAAGCUUGGUGAAACUUUUGCGAAAUCUUCUUCUUCUAACAACUACAAAGAAGAUUUUAAAAAGGUUAAAGAAAAAAAAGAAAAAAAUAAGCUUAACUUUAAAUAAAAAAAUGGUGAAAAUUAUAAUAAAUUUUUCUCUUUGGAAGAACUUAAAACAUCUCUUUCUAAAGUCCAUGACACAGCUUGUGGGCCUGAUAACAUCCAUUAUCAACUGUUAAAACACUCGCCAGAUUCCUCUCUGGAAGUUCUCUUGCAGCUUAUGAAUACCAUCUGGGAGUCUGGUGAUUUACCAUCAAUCUGGAAGCUUGCAACCGUCGUGCCUAUUCCAAAACCAAGUAAAGAUCACACGGAUCCUAUUAACUAUCGACCAAUUGGUCUUACCAGUUGUGUCUGUAAAACACUCGAACGGAUGGUCAAUGAUCGCCUUGUUUGGUUCUUGGAAUCAAAUGGGCUAUUAGCCAAUAUCCAGUGUGGAUUUCGACAGGGACGCAGUACUCUUGAUCAUCUU
rnacentral:lncRNA from 1 species